rnacentral:lncRNA from 1 species
CCCAUAAAGGCACCUUUUCUUGCAUUGAAAGGCAUACCCAAGAGAGAUGAGUGAUAGAAAUAUAAGAAAAUCAUAGCGGCAAAACAUCAGUGAAAAUACUGAUAUAUUGGGUCUUCUUUAUGGAUUUCUUAAUUUUUCAGCUUCUAAGAACAAAUUUGAAUCUAAAUAAAGCUGAAAUGGUUUAAGGAUAGUGGUAAAAAGGGCUUGAUUUGAAGCUCUGGUCAAUUGGGUGCAAAGCUUGGUUUCAAAGUUCUUUUCCUCUUGGUUAUCUCUGCUUUGGGUCAUUGACUGCUACUACUACUGCUACUACUGAAUCUUAUCCCAUUUAUUCUCAUUUUCAGGUACAAUUUUUUAACUCUAUUCGCCGUAGAAACUUUGUGAUAUGGAAACCUAGAAGAUUGGAAGCAUAUUGGCCAUCUUGUUCUCAUUAUAGGAGUUUAAUCCUGGUUUUAUUUCGAGCUUUAGUUUGAAUAUGUUUGCGUUUGUAUGUUGGUUGGUGACAAUGCUCUUUAAGGGUUGAGUUUGAUUUUAAAAUGGGUAUAAGGUUCAAUUUUGGUCGGAUGUUCUGUAAUCUGGAAACCUGUACUGUAUAAAUAGAUCUGGUCAUGAUGUUUUAAAUCUGCCUGAAAGAUGAAACAACAUAGUUGUCUAUGCUGAGUCAUUAAUAAAGUUCUGCAUAUAAUCUUAAGUAGCAACCCGCUUAAUUGGAUGUUGAAUAAUCAAAAGUCAAUAGAUAUUGUAACCUUUGUGUAGGAGUAGUGUGAUUAGCUAAUAAAAUCCACCGCCUAUUGUUAGUUAUUAAAUCUGGAAUUCACGAUUGCUUUCAUGAUCAAGCUAUUAUUGGGUGUUGUCUGAUUGGCUAAUAAUGAAUUUAAAAGGAUUCUCCAGUUUGCUUGCAUAGGUAUUAGGCUCGUUCUGGACUCUUUUGAAUCCUUUGAUCACUUCAAUCUUUGUUCACAUGGUAAGGGUUCGAUGCUGGGUCCCGGUCCAACAGCUGCAAGGCUCCAUAUUUGGGCCAUUCCGAGGCCCAAUUCUGAAGGUCUCUUUGAAUCAUAGUCGGACCAUUUCCCGUUUGGGGCUAUCAUUCCUUGUGUGUUGGCUCAAGUUUCUCUUAUACAAUGCACUAGUUUCCCCUCAUAUAAGCCACCCCGACUAGUAUAGAUAGAACCUCCAAUUACAUGCAGUGUUAAUUGGUCAAACUAUUAACUAAUCAAGGCGAGUCGUAUUAAAUAAUACAAAUAGUUAUGGCCCUCUAAAUGCAGUUGAAUUCCCUUUCUUAAAUUUGGAAUUGAGGCGCGUCAUGCCAAACAAAAAAAUGAUAAUUGUGUGGCCCUCGCUUAAUUAUUCCUUUUAAAAUUCUUAGAAUUCGAGGCGUGCCAUUUAGCAAAUUCCAUGGCCCUCGCAAAGUUGCAAAUGAGUAAUUGUUUUAGGAGCGUUGUUUUAAUAAUUUACCUUCCUAAACUCGGGUGCGCAUUUAUGUGACCCAAAUCCAAAUCUCAACGAUGUUAAAAUAUGUCAAAAACCGCGGGUACAUUUAUGUGACAUGGUUCGAAACGUGUUUUAAUAACGUUGCAAUUUUCUUUGAAAAAUGAAUAAAAGGGGCUAAAACUAAAAUUGCACAUAGGUUAAAACAUGUAUUAAAAUCAGAUAAUAGGCCAAUUAUAAUAGUUGAGCGACCGUGCUAGAACCACGGAACUCGAGAAUGCAUAACACCUUCUCCCGGGUUAACAGAAUUCCUUACCCGGAUUUCUGUGUUCGCAGACUGUAAUACAAAGUCAAUCUUUUCCUCGAUUCGGGAUUCAACCGGUGACUUGGGACACCAUAAAUUAUUUCAAGUGGUAACUCUGAAUUUUUAAUAAAUUAAUCUCGUUUCGAUUGUCACUUUAAGUUAGAAAAAACUCCCUAUAUACACCAUUUUCGGGGUGUAAGAAAAAGGAGGUGUGACACGAAGAAAUGAGAAAUAUAGCACCAAGUUUUCUUCUUUUUUAAUAAUAACGGGAGGGGAAAGGAAGAGGAACUUUCAUAUCUAAGUGGUGUGGGCAACCACGUCAUGUAUUUGUCUGCCACAAUGAUAAUCUUAACGACUUAUUACAAUUAAUUACAAAAAUAUAAGUACUACUUAUGUUUAUGUAGAGCAUGCACUUAUAUACUAGUAACAUAUAUAUAUUUCACCAUGUCAUAUGUAUUUUCCCUAUAUAUUUACAUUACGUCUCAAGUUAAGUUGACCUAGUGAACCAAACAUCCACCUCUUACGAUGUUUAUAUAUUAUAUAAAUUCCACCUUAGCGUAUACAUAUAUACCUGCACGCUCAUUUUUUAUGUAGUAUAAAUAUGUGCUAUGCACCCUAUAUAUUCAGCCUAUCUAUAGCCGACACCUUGUAUGUUUACUUCAAUUGUUGUUUGAAAUUUUGGGUCUGUAGUUUCUGAUUCUUGUGUACGUAGGCAUAUAAUAUUUCAAUGGCGGAGGCUGUAGAAAGAACAAGAUCAAUUUCUCCUAGGUACUUCCAUAGCCAAAACUCCAAUGAGCAACUCAAUUUUGGGUCAGUAAAUGAACAAUACAUCAUCUCCCCUUCUCCUUCUCAUCACCCUAACAUACUUGUUGUUUUUAUUUUCCCAACAAUGGUUGAGCUUCUACAGCUCAAAUACCAAGGCAGUGAUAAAUCUCCCUUUGAAAUCCACCCUAAAAAGAUGUCUUUGGCCGUCGCAAGUUACCUCAUUUACUGCUUUUCCUAUUAUUCUCAGCUGAAUAUUUCUACUUCAAACGAUCGUAUCCUCUCUUCAUACUAUGCUAAAAUGGUCCUAAUUCUUGGUUCUAUAUUUGGUCCUCUCAUAAUGACGUCUUACUCAUCAGUUCUUUUCCCCUCACUUUGUCCCCUUUUCUAUUCCAUUUCUGUCUUGUACUCCGUAAGUCAAUUGCUAAAUUGCAAACUCGAAGAAAGAUGGAAAGGGCUUUAUCUUAAAUUCAUGUAUUAUUCUAUCAGUCCACGUCAAAGGAAUAUUCUUCCUAUUUGAUUAUGCUUCUUUAAUUUAGUUUAGUUGAUCUAUCCCCAUUGAAUUAAGGGUUACAGGUUACUGUGCUAUUUGAUCUCCUUUCUCCUACUUCUUUUUUCCUUUUAUUUUCAUUUUCAGUUGGAUAAUCUUGUAAUUUGCACUUGACGAGUACUCCCUCCGUUUUAAAUUAAAUGAGAUACUUUUCUUUUUAGUUUGUUCAAAAAUAAAUGACACAUUUCUAAAUUUGGAAGUAAUUCAACUUUAAAUUAUUCAUUUUACCCAUUUUGCCCUUAAUGAAAACCUUUUAUAACCACACAAAUAUAAUGACCCCACAAAACUUUUACGCCUUAAGCUUUUAAGACCACAAUUUUAAAAAAAAAAUUCUUAAAUUCUGUAUCGAGUCAAACUACCUCAUUUAAAUUGAAAUAGAGGGAAUAAUACUUUUUAAUUUUUAAUUUUCAAAAGCAUGUUGUAUGGAAAGGACAAGAAAACUAUAAAUGGCGUGUUUCCCUAACGUAUUUUGGCAAAACUUUAAUUUGCUCAUUGACGUCAAAUGAGGUUGUUGAUAUCGACCACGUCGGGAAAAAAGUCAUAAUUUCUAAAAUUACGACGAAUUAUUAGUUGAACAUAAAGAUUAUUAUAAGGAUCCGAUCGAUCGUUUUGAGAGUUUUAGCCCUGAUCCCCUAUUUACUAUUUUCUGUAUCAUUUUAUGCUUAUGUAACUUAGUGGGAGGAUUGGUUUUGGCUAGUGAAAUGAGACACUUAGUCCCUACAAUGGAAGUUUAAGUUUUACAAAUUUGAUUGUAGUUGGAAUUGUAUGAAGACGACUCCUGAAUGGAGUUUCGCCGGUUCCGUUAGCUCCGUUGGGUGAUUUUGGACUUAGAAGCGUCUGGAUUAUAAUAUGGAGAUUCGUAGCUAAAUCAGGCUUGAAAUGGCGAAAGUUGGAUUUUGGGGAAGAUUGACCGGGAGUGGACAUUUUGAUAUUGGGAUCGAAUUCCGAUUCCUGAAGUUGAAAUAGGUCAGUAAUGUCAAAUUUAACUUGUGUGCAAAAUUUGGAGUCAAUCGGACGUGAUUUUGAUAGGUUCCGGCAUCGAUUGUAGAAGUUUGAAGUUUCAAAGUUCAUUAAGAAUGAAUUGCGGUGCGAUUCAUGUUUUUAGUGUUAUUUGAUGUGAUUUGAAGGCUCGACUAAGUUCGUAUGAUGUUUUAGGACUGACCGAUAUGUUUGGUUGAGGUCCCGGGGGCCUCGGGUGGAUUCCGGGUGAUUAGCGGACUAGAGUUGGACUUGUUGGAAUUAUAGAAAAUCUGGUGCUUUAGUUGUCGGUUUCCUUCUUCGCGUUCGCGAGGGGAGUUCCGCGUUCGCGAAGGGGAGUUAGCGGCAAGUGAGGAUUUGUGCUUCACGCUAGCGAAGUGGGAGUCGCGUUCGCGAAGGUCUGAGCAGUGGUGCAUCGCGAACGCAUGAAGGGUAUCGCGUUCGCGAAGAGGAAGAGGAGGAUACUAGGAUCCAAGCGUUGGUCUACACGUUCAUGAAGUAGGGAUCGCAUUCACGAAGAGGUGGGUUAGUUAUGCAUCGCAUUCUCGAGCGACUCCUCGCAUCCGCAUAGAAGGAUUUUGGGCAGAAGCAAACUUUGAGCUUCGCGAACGUGAGAGUGAGGUCGCGUUCGCAAAGAAGGAAAUGCCUGUGCAACAAAUUAAAUUUCAAAAUCAAGGGUUUUAUCCCAUUUUCAUUUUGGGACCUAGAGAGCUCGGAUUGAGGCGAAAAAUCAAGGAUUUUUCAGAGAAAGCAAUUAGGUAAUGAUUCUUAACUCAUUUUUGGUUAUAUCCCACUAAUUUAUCGUUUAUUUGUAUCAUUUAAUUAAGGUUUUAGGUCGAGAAAUUUAGGAAAAAAGUUGAAAAGUUCUUCACCCAAAUUUUUGGGUUUUGAUUGAGAUUUUGGUAUUAUAUUUGAGUACUUUUGGUAUGUGUGGACUCGUGGUUGAAUGAGAGUUCGUAUUUUGUGACUUUUAUCCGAUUUCGAGACGUGGGUCCGGGUCGACUUUUUGGGGCAAUUUUCGAAUUUCUUGUCAAAGUCUUGAUUUCAUUAAUUAGAUUAGUUUUUAUAGUUAUAUUUAUGGUAUGUAAUUGCUUUUGGCUAGAUUUGGGCCAUUGGAAGUCAGAAAGUCGUGGAAACUGACAUUCUUAUUGACUGAUUGAGCUCUGUUUAAGAUAAGUGGCUUGCUUAACCUUGUGUGGGGGAAAUCCCCUUAGGAUUUGGUACUAUUGUGAUACUUCUGUUAUAUGUGAGUGCCGUGUACGCGAGGUGACGAGUGCAUACACGGGCUAAUUUUUGUAAAAUUUGGUUUUUACUGAGCAGUAAUAUGUUACAUCUUAAGUGAGUUAUACCAGCAUGUGUAGUUAUCUUGUUUAGCCUAAUGUCCCAUAUCUACGUGUCUUAAUUGCUUAUUUGAAAUUUGUACGACAUGCUUAGUUGAUUUCCUGCUUUUCAUUGACUUGUAUUUAGUCUUAAACUGUAGGAUUUCUUGCUGUAAUUAUUGUUUCCAUCAAUUUUGAUUUGUGUGUUCACUUUUGGGAUUACGAGACGGUACCUUGGGAUAUCCCCUAUUACAUAUUUCUUUUUGGGACUACGAUGCAGUACCUCGGGAGAUCCCCUAUUGCAUAUCUACUUUUGAGACUACGAGACGGAACCACGGGAGAUCCCAUGUUGCAUAUUUACUUUUAGGACUACAAGACGGUACCUCCGGAGAUCCCCUAUUGAGCAUUUACUUUUUGGACUAUGAGACAAUAUCUCGGGAGAACCCCUUUUGUUCACCCUAUGUGUUGUGUUGUUAUUUUUCUGAAAUUUCUCAUUGCUAGUUCUCAGUCUUUGAUUAUAUUGCUAUAUCUUCUACCUUAUUUGUUAUAUUCUAGUAUGGCCCUGACCUGACCUCGUCACUACUGUACCGAGGUUAGACUUACUACUUACUGGGUACUGCUGUGGCGUACUCAUUUUACUCUUCUGCACAUGUUUUGUGUGUAGACCUAGGUACCUCCUACCAGCCCCGCUAUUAGUCGAGAGUAUUUGUUGUGGCUUUCGGAGACUUCAAGGUAUAUCUGCCAGCAUCCGCAGACCUCAGAGUCCCCCUCUAUCCUUUAUGUUGUUUCUUCUUAUUUUUCCUAAACACUAAUGUAUAGAGACAAUUAGAGUUUUUCCUUAGAGCUUGUGACUUACUACCGGGUCAUUGGGGAGUUGUUUAUGCUCAAAACUGUUAGUUUCACUUGUAUAUGUCGAGUGGCAGUUUUUCAUCUUUAUAUAUAUAUAUAUAAGACUAUGUGUGUGUGUGUGUGUGUGUAUAUAUAUACCUGUUAUUGCUAAGGUUUAUUUGUUAUUUCUUUUAUGUUUUUCAGCAAUUGUUACCUAGUCUUAGAGACUGGGUGCCAUCAUGAUAUCUUACGGAGGGAGAUUUGGGUCGUGGCAACUAUGACGAAUCCAAAUUACUCGUGCAUUUGGAUAUUUUAUAGCAUGUGCCUCUCUAGGAUAAUCUCAUCCUAAAGAAGUGAUACUGUGUACGGGUGAAAAUGGAGUUAACGCACACCUCGAUUUCACGGGGUAUCAAACGGAGUAAGAAUGUAUGAGAUCAAAAUCGAAGCCGGGAACUAUUUGUAGCAAACGGGAUGUUCGCCAUCGGACCUGAUAAGGCAACUCUCCCCAAACCAGAACAAGCUCCAAGGUCUUGGAAAACAUGGCAAACGAUUGCACACGACUAGCAGGGAGUCGUGAUAUCCGCGCCCAAUUGGAUAUCAUGGUGUAAAUCUUGCCCGAUGUCAGUAACGGUUCAGUAAUUAACGAGAAAUGAAGAUUUUUACCUUUUUAGACUUGUACUAGGGGUGAAACUCUCCUUCUAUAUAAAGAGAAAAUUCUUUUUGAUGAGACACAUUGUAACAUGCAUACCAAGGCAAUACAAAUUCAUUUUCUC